AAGUGACAGACCUUAAUUUCGUGGUGGAUUUGAAGUGCUGGAUUAACAGUCAGACAUGAUGAUCUUAAAGGUCUUUUCCAACCUUAAUGAUUCUAUGAU